GAAAGACUCGACUGUAUAUCAGCAAAUGAGAACACCGUAGAAGCCGGCUAGGAAAUGCCGCGUCGAAAAGCUCAGCACCGUCUCAAAAACUAGAAGUGCGCCGAGCGACGCCAAUGCACAAAUAUACAUGCCUCCAAAUGAAAUCUGCAUGGAGAUUUGGAUCAAGGGGCGACAAGAGGAGGUUGAAUUGGAGCCUAUAAAAAUUCUCAACGAGAACUAGGCCUAUAUCCCAAAUGCAACCUCAAAGCACACCUCGCGUUUUAUCGUCAAGAUGACGCAAGUCAACUUGUGACAAGCUCACCUUAGGAACGAUAAGAAACGCUCAAUUCACAGCGGGAACGAAUCAUGAAUCGACUCCAUCAAGUUUGAGCAAAUAAGAUUAAGCAAAGACACUACUAACCACUAGCAAACCUCACUUUAACUAAUCAUGCAAUGAUUUAAUAAAGAUACUUAUCUAACAAGAAAGGAUUAGCAAAGGGAAGUACUGAUUAAAUUGCUAAACAACCUAACAGUAAUUAACUAGCAGUUGCAUUGAAUUAACGGAACAAGAAAAAAAACUUACAGUGCUAUCUGGUAGAAGAAAUUGGGCCUGCUGCUCCUGUCUCCCUUGACCGGCCUGCUAGCUGCACGCUUGGG
rnacentral:lncRNA from 1 species